AGCCUGAUGCAGCCAUGCCGCGUGUGUGAAGAAGGCCUUCGGGUUGUAAAGCACUUUCAGUCGUGAGGAAGGUGGUAGUGUUAAUAGCACUAUCAUUUGACGUUAGCGACAGAAGAAGCACCGGCUAACUCCGUGCCAGCAGCCGCGGUAAUACGGAGGGUGCGAGCGUUAAUCGGAAUUACUGGGCGUAAAGCGCAUGCAGGUGGUUUGUUAAGUCAGAUGUGAAAGCCCGGGGCUCAACCUCGGAAUAGCAUUUGAAACUGGCAGACUAGAGUACUGUAGAGGGGGGUAGAAUUUCAGGUGUAGCGGUGAAAUGCGUAGAGAUCUGAAGGAAUACCGGUGGCGAAGGCGGCCCCCUGGACAGAUACUGACACUCAGAUGCGAAAGCGUGGGGAGCAAACAGGAUUAGAUACCCUGGUAGUCCACGCCGUAAACGAUGUCUACUUGGAGGUUGUGGCCUUGAGCCGUGGCUUUCGGAGCUAACGCGUUAAGUAGACCGCCUGGG
rnacentral:rRNA from 1 species